rnacentral:pre_miRNA from 1 species
CAGGACCGGCUUCCCUCAUGGCCGAGGCAGGACCGGCUUCCCUCAUGGCCGAGGCAGGACCGGCUUCGCUCAUGGCCGAGGCAGGACCGGCUUC